AUUGAACGCUGGCGGCAUGCCUUACACAUGCAAGUCGAACGGUAACAGGUCUUCGGAUGCUGACGAGUGGCGAACGGGUGAGUAAUACAUCGGAACGUGCCUAGUAGUGGGGGAUAACUACUCGAAAGAGUGGCUAAUACCGCAUGAGAUCUACGGAUGAAAGCAGGGGAUCGCAAGACCUUGUGCUACUAGAGCGGCCGAUGGCAGAUUAGGUAGUUGGUGGGAUAAAAGCUUACCAAGCCGACGAUCUGUAGCUGGUCUGAGAGGACGAUCAGCCAAACUGGGACUGAGACACGGCCCAGACGCCUACGGGAGGCAGCAGUGGGGAAUUUUGGACAAUGGGCGAAAGCCUGAUCCAACAAUGCCGCGUGCAGGAUGAAGGCCUUCGGGUUGUAAACUGCUUUUGUACGGAACGAAAAGCUCUGGGUUAAUACCCUGGGGUCAUGACGGUACCGUAAGAAUAAGCACCGGCUAACUACGUGCCAGCAGCCGCCGUAAUAC
rnacentral:rRNA from 1 species